AUUUAUCGUAUCCAAUAAAUGGCUGAAAUUGGAUGUACAGGGAUUUACUAAUCAAACAACGAUCCAGAAAUAUUUGCGAACCCGUCAUAAAUAUUUGACGCGCGUUGGUUGCCAAGGGGGUGACUGGUGACUUUUUAACUCCGCAGGUGGCUGCAAAUUUAAUUUGAAUCGCGUUUAACGAAGAUCAAAGUUCCUUUUGAACUGGAAAUAAAGUUACACAACCAACUAAAAGGUUUUAUUCUGUUAACAAUUUUUUCCCAUUACUUGGCACUUGUCCGCGCCAUUUUUGCUCUGGCCUAUACAAGUCAUUGAUAUCAGUGUCCCAUAUAUUCAUAUUGGCGUUGCUUAGCGACAAAGGAUAUUUUGCGACGAAAAGCAGCUAGUAGCAGACCGAUCCGAAGUUUGCUCGGAGCAAGUCAUACACAAAACGUCGUUCGUUUUUUUGGGCGGGACAAGUCCUGACAAGGUUGGUACCGUUUAAUAUUUAACAGAAGGAGUUGCGUUUAGCCAAAUGGAGACGGACAAAUUAAUAGUGCGUAUUGAGAUGCUGGCAAAAUUGACAAUUCAGUUAUGCCACUUAAAAGAAAGGUUGCAUAUUUUAAAUGUGCACCAUUGGAAUAAUAGAUCAUGAUAGAUCAAGGUUUUAAAAACGUUUAAAGUGAGUAACUGACAGUAUUUAAACAAUUAUAACAAACUCCUUCAAGCCUUACCGGCUGCAUUUGUGUUUUGCCCGUUAAAAGCUCACUUAGGCUUUUUCAGAUCAGAGGAAACUGCCAGCUGCGUGUUUUUGCCAACGAAAAUAUGGACAGGGUAAUCUUGGUUCGUACUUGAGAUAUCGUGUUUAUACGCUUCCAAGCAUUCCACUUUUAUAUUGUGGUUUGGUAAAACUCCUUUUAAGAAUUGACAAACACAUGAAAUCGACGGUUUUUCAACGCCAAACAGUACUUAGCGGUUUAUAUUAAAUUUUCGACGUUUGUUACUUUAUACACAGUGUCCUGACGUCUGUCAACAAAUUGCUUUGUAAUAACAUUUUAUUUUUAUUACCAUAAAAUAAAUAAUCAUUGUUCAGGCAAUCAAAACUAUCUAGUUUUCUUGCUAUUAAUAGGUUAAAUUUGCUGUAAAAUGGCGUAGUUUUGUAAAUUAUGGAUUUUUUGGAUUAAAAAUUUAAAAUGCCUAUUUUGGUGUGUACUGGACAAAAUGCGACUGUUCUGAUAUAUUUACCAGUAAUAAGAGAUGAACUGCCUGAAAAAUAUAAAUAGAAUUUCGACAGUUCACAAGGCAG